GACGAACGCUGGCGGCGUGCUUAACACAUGCAAGUCGAACGGAAAGGCCCUGCUUUUGUGGGGUGCUCGAGUGGCGAACGGGUGAGUAACACGUGAGUAACCUGCCCUUGACUUUGGGAUAACUUCAGGAAACUGGGGCUAAUACCGGAUAGGAGCUCCUGCUGCAUGGUGGGGGUUGGAAAGUUUCGGCGGUUGGGGAUGGAUUCGCGGCUUAUCAGCUUGUUGGUGGGGUAGUGGCUUACCAAGGCUUUGACGGGUAGCCGGCCUGAGAGGGUGACCGGCCACAUUGGGACUGAGGUACGGCCCAGACUCCUACGGGAGGCAGCAGUGGGGAAUAUUGCACAGUGGGCGGAAGCCUGAUGCAGCAACGCCGCGUGCGGGAUGACGGCCUUCGGGUUGUAAACCGCUGUCGCCUGUGACGAAGCGUGAGUGACGGUAAUGGGUAAAGAAGCACCGGCUAACUACGUG
rnacentral:rRNA from 1 species